ACGAACGCUGGCGGCGUGCCUAAUACAUGCAAGUCGAGCGGAAUGAUGAAGAAGCUUGCUUCUUCUGAUUUUAGCGGCGGACGGGUGAGUAACACGUGGGCAACCUACCUUGUAGAUUGGGAUAACUCCGGGAAACCGGGGCUAAUACCGAAUAAUCCAUUUUGCUUCAUGGCGAGAUGUUGAAAGACGGUUUCGGCUGUCACUACAAGAUGGGCCCGCGGCGCAUUAGCUAGUUGGUAGGGUAAUGGCCUACCAAGGCGACGAUGCGUAGCCGACCUGAGAGGGUGAUCGGCCACACUGGGACUGAGACACGGCCCAGACUCCUACGGGAGGCAGCAGUAGGGAAUCUUCCACAAUGGACGAAAGUCUGAUGGAGCAACACCGCGUGAGUGAAGAAGGUUUUCGGAUCGUAAAACUCUGUUGUAAGGGAAGAACACGUACGAGAGUAACUGCUCGUACCUUGACGGUACCUUAUUAGAAAGCCACGGCUAACUACGUG
rnacentral:rRNA from 1 species